AUUUUCGCAGAGGUGUUGGGCGCUGCUUCUCUCCUGCUGCACAUGAGGUGGUGCGGCCUCCUGCCCUUCUUCCUCCCUCCCACUCCCCGUCAGGAAAAAAAGUUGUGAACUCAAACUCCCAGAGCCCAGGGCAAGUUCUGUGGAAGAAUGCAGCCGUUUUGGCCCGGAUGCAGGCCCUCUUUGGUGUUGGAGUGACUCAAAACCAGACUUUUGGGUUUUUUUUUGCGGGGGGGGGGGGGGGGGGGGCGUGAAGAAUCUUAAUGUGUAUCAGGGGCCAGAGAAGGAAGCGGAAUGAGUUUGAAAUCAUGCAUGUUUGGAAGCUGCGAGACAGGUGUGGAGUCUUCUGUCUCCUUUUUCUUCCUCCAGACUUCUAGAACUCUAGUCCUAACAAGAGGAGCCUGAGGGAAGAAGUUUGCACUACUUAAAGCCUUAAAGUCUUGGCCAGAUGGCAUGCAGCCUCAAUUGCCUCAUCCAGAACAUUCUCAGACUUACUGACCUACAAGAGUGGCAGGCAGUGUUCUCUCCCCUGAGCCUUCAACACAUGGUUGCUUACAGGGUACCUGGAAGGUGAAGGUAAGCCUUGAUGAUGGAGGCUUUAGCCAUAUCAGAGGCUCAAAUAUUCUGACUUCCUAGAGGCUAUCCUUACUUUUCCUUUCCCCUUCACACUCCAAGGAGCAUCACUGAGGUAGCAUUUUCUCUUAUCCUGGGGAGACAGGAUAUUAUUUCUUUUUCACCCCUAACUUUCCUAUAUCUCUGUCUUUAAUGCAGGGCUUGUCCUUCCACUAGUACAGAUAUAGGACACUCCACAUCCUGCCCUUCCCACGCACAAAAUGUCAAACCUACCCUUGACAUUUCUUUGUCAUUUGCUUGCUCUGGAAGCAACUCUCUUAGAAUCAACAAGGUAUAAUGAUGGAUUAAAAAUGAGCCAGGAAUCAUUUGACAUUUUUCUCAUUGUGAAGAGAUCUCCAAUUCUGCCUCUUGAAUCUGGGAUGUUCUUAAUGGUUUGCUUGACCAGUAGAUUAUGGCAGAAGUAAUACUCUGUGAUUUCUGAAGCUAGGUUAUAAGAAGCCUAUAGCUUCUGCCUAGUUGUCUUGGAACACUCAAUCUUGGGAUGCUCCACAUGGGAACCGAACCACCAUUAAAAAAAAAAAAAGCCAAAACCCCCCUGGAGUUGUAUGUGAGUGUUGUCAAAUGCACCAGUUGAGGUAAUCAACCACUGGCAUUAAAUGCCAUCCAUAUAAGUUAGCCAUAGUGAGUGUCCCAGAUUAUAUGAAACUACACAUUGAAGAAGCUCAAUGAACUCUAAGGUAGAUAAUCUCAGAGGUCCAUGCUGAGACACAGUAUAAUUGUUGGAAUACAAAGAGAAUAUCUUGAAAGCAGUGAGAGGAGAGACUUGUCACAGACAAGGGAUCGCCAAUAAAAUUAAUAGCUGAUUUCUCAUGAGAAACCCAUCUGGCCCAGAAGGCAAUGGGAUAAAAAAUUAAAGUGCUGGGGGGAAAAAGCACUUUCAACCAAGUCUCUGUUGGCAAAACUGCCCUUCAAAAAUGAAGGAAAAACUAAGAUAAACAAAAGGCAAGAGAAUUGGCCUCUACUAGACCUCCCUGCAAGAAAUGCUAAAGGGAGUUCUAAAGGCUGAAAUAAAAGGACAUGAGACAGUAAUUCCAAGUCAUACAAAGAAACAGAUUACCAACAAAGGUAACUGCACAGGUGUAUAUAUGAAAGCUAGUGUUACUGUAUUUCUAAUUUAUCUCAUUUUGUUUCCUACAUGAUUAAGAAGACAAAUGCAUAAAACAAUAAUUUGAAACCUGUGUCAAUGGGCACAUAAUGUAUAACGAUGUAAUUUGUGAAAUUUCAACAAAAAUUUGGGAUGGAGUUGGACAGGAACAGAGGUACUGUGUUAUUGAACUAAUUUGGUAUCAAUUCAAUGUAGAUUGGUAUAAGUUAAGAGUGUUAACUGUAAUACCCAUAGUAACCCCUAAGAAAAUAAAGAAUAUACUAAAAAGAAAUAAAGAGGAAUAAAAAUGGUACACUAGAAAAAAAAAGUAUUAGGAGAGUUGAGGAACAAACAGCAGAAUGAAUCCUGCAUUAUCAGUAAUCAUUUUAAAUGUAAAUGAACUAAACUUACGAAUUAAAAAACAGGAAUCAUAGUGGGUUAAAAAAA